rnacentral:tRNA from 1 species
GUACACAUAAUUUAAUUAAAAUACUAGGCCGUGGCCCUAAAAAUGAAAGUU